UUGGGGACACGGCUGCCUGGUUCCAUCUCCAACCCAAUAAUGCUUGGGGACACCGGUGGUGCUGCCGGCAGGGCACCCAGGAUGAUCAUUUCCACAUGGCUGGUGUACCUCCUGGCACGGAAAGAAAUUGGUGGCUGCUCUGCCGGGGACCCAGAUAGCGCUGCGGACGGGGUGGAAAAGGUCUCGCUGAUGGAGCAGUGGUGCCACAAGCUCCAAGACAGGACCUGCAGGCUCUUCAGGUGGAUGACGGAUUGCCCGGUGGCACAGCGGGCAGGGUCGGUGUCGGCCCCUCCGGCGUGCAUGGCCACGAGCGACCCGGAGCCACAGGUUGGGAUGCUUGGGAGCGAGCCGGAGCCACAGGUUGGGAUGCUUGAGACCGAGCCGGAGCCACAGGUUGGGAUGCUUGAGACCAAGCUGGAGCCACAGGUUGAGAUGCAUAGGAGCGAGCCAGAGCCACAGGUUGAGAUGCAGAGGAGCGAGCCAGAGCCACAGGUUGAGGUGCAGAGGAGCGAGCCAGAGCCACAGGUUGAGGUGCAGAGGAGCGAGCCAGAGCCACAGGUUGAGAUGCACAGGACCGAGCCAGAGCCACAGGCUGAGAUGCACGGGACCGAGCCAGAGCCACAGGCUGAGAUGCACAGGACCGAGCCAGAGCCACAGGCUGAGAUACAUGGGACCAAGCCAGAGCCACAGGCUGAGAUACAUGGGACCAAGCCAGAGCCACAGGCUGAGAUGCACGGGACCAAGCCAGAGCCACAGGCUGAGAUACAUGGGACCAAGCCAGAGCCACGGGUUGGGACACGCGAGCAGGAUAACAUGUCUCUCUCUGGGCAAUCCCUGCAUCGGUCGGUCAGCCAGCCCUACCUGGAGAGCACCACCACCAUCAAGAUCUUGAAGCAGAGGUAAAGCCCCAUGGUGCCUACAGGGACGAGGUGGGACGUGCCACCACCUGGGGACCUGGGUGGUGGCGGAGGCAGCUCCUGAGAGGGGAC
rnacentral:lncRNA from 1 species